AGAGUUUGAUCCUGGCUCAGGAUGAACGCUAGCGACAGGCUUAACACAUGCAAGUCGAGGGGCAGCACAGGUAGCAAUACCGGGUGGCGACCGGCGCACGGGUGAGUAACGCGUAUGCAACUUGCCUAUCAGAGGGGGAUAACCCGGCGAAAGUCGGACUAAUACCGCAUGAAGCAGGGAUCCCGCAUGGGAAUAUUUGCUAAAGAUUCAUCGCUGAUAGAUAGGCAUGCGUUCCAUUAGGCAGUUGGCGGGGUAACGGCCCACCAAACCGACGAUGGAUAGGGGUUCUGAGAGGAAGGUCCCCCACAUUGGUACUGAGACACGGACCAAACUCCUACGGGAGGCAGCAGUGAGGAAUAUUGGUCAAUGGGCGUAAGCCUGAACCAGCCAAGUCGCGUGAGGGAUGAAGGUUCUAUGGAUCGUAAACCUCUUUUAUAAGGGAAUAAAGUGCGGGACGUGUCCCGUUUUGUAUGUACCUUAUGAAUAAGGAUCGGCUAACUCCGUGCCAGCAGCCGCGGUAAUACGGAGGAUCCGAGCGUUAUCCGGAUUUAUUGGGUUUAAAGGGUGCGUAGGCGGCCUUUUAAGUCAGCGGUGAAAGUCUGUGGCUCAACCAUAGAAUUGCCGUUGAAACUGGGAGGCUUGAGUAUGUUUGAGGCAGGCGGAAUGCGUGGUGUAGCGGUGAAAUGCUUAGAUAUCACGCAGAACCCCGGUUGCGAAGGCAGCCUGCCAAGCCAUGACUGACGCUGAUGCACGAAAGCGUGGGGAUCAAACAGGAUUAGAUACCCUGGUAGUCCACGCAGUAAACGAUGAUCACUAGCUGUUUGCGAUACACAGUAAGCGGCACAGCGAAAGCGUUAAGUGAUCCACCUGGGGAGUACGCCGGCAACGGUGAAACUCAAAGGAAUUGACGGGGGCCCGCACAAGCGGAGGAACAUGUGGUUUAAUUCGAUGAUACGCGAGGAACCUUACCCGGGUUUGAACGCAUUCGGACCGAGGUGGAAACACCUUUUCUAGCAAUAGCCGUUUGCGAGGUGCUGCAUGGUUGUCGUCAGCUCGUGCCGUGAGGUGUCGGCUUAAGUGCCAUAACGAGCGCAACCCUUGCCACUAGUUACUAACAGGUAAAGCUGAGGACUCUGGUGGGACUGCCAGCGUAAGCUGCGAGGAAGGCGGGGAUGACGUCAAAUCAGCACGGCCCUUACAUCCGGGGCGACACACGUGUUACAAUGGCGUGGACAAAGGGAGGCCACCUGGCGACAGGGAGCGAAUCCCCAAACCACGUCUCAGUUCGGAUCGGAGUCUGCAACCCGACUCCGUGAAGCUGGAUUCGCUAGUAAUCGCGCAUCAGCCAUGGCGCGGUGAAUACGUUCCCGGGCCUUGUACACACCGCCCGUCAAGCCAUGGGAGCCGGGGGUACCUGAAGUCCGUAACCGCGAGGAUCGGCCUAGGGUAAAACUGGUGACUGGGGCUAAGUCGUAACAAGGUA
rnacentral:rRNA from 1 species